CGGNNCUANCAUGCAAGUCGNACCAUGANNCCCAUAUUGCUGGGUGGAUUAGUGGCGAACGGGUGAGUAACACGUGGGUGAUCUGCCCUGCACUUCGGGAUAAGCCUGGGAAACUGGGUCUAAUACCGGAUAGGACCUCGGGAUGCAUGUUCCGGGGUGGAAAGGUUUUCCGGUGCAGGAUGGGCCCGCGGCCUAUCAGCUUGUUGGUGGGGUAACGGCCCACCAAGGCGACGACGGGUAGCCGGCCUGAGAGGGCGACCGGCCACACUGGGACUGAGACACGGCCCAGACUCCUACGGGAGGCAGCAGUGGGGAAUAUUGCACAAUGGGCGCAAGCCUGAUGCAGCGACNCCGCGUGAGGGAUGACGGCCUUCGGGUUGUAAACCUCUUUCAGUACCGACNAAGCGCGAGUGACGGUAGGUACAGAAGAAGCACCGGCCAACUACGUGCCAGCAGCCNCGGUAAUACGUAGGGUGCGAGCGUUGUCCNGAAUUACUGGGCGUAAAGAGCUCGUAGGCGGUUUGUCGCGUCGUCUGUGAAAACCCGCAGCUCAACUGCGGGCUUGCANGCNAUACGGGCAGACUUGAGUACUGCAGGGGAGACUGGAAUUCCUGGUGUAGCGGUGAAAUGCNCANAUAUCANGAGGAACACCNGUGGCNAANGCGGGUCUCUGGGCAGUAACUGACGCUGANGAGCGAAAGCGUGGGUAGCGAACAGGAUUAGAUACCCUGGUAGUCCACGCCGUAAACGGUGGGCGCUAGGUGUGGGUUUNCUUCCACGGGAUCCGUGCCGUANCUAACGCAUUAAGCGCCCCCCCUGGGGGAGUACNGCCGCCAGGCUAAAACUCAANGGAAUUGACNGGGGCCCNCNCA
rnacentral:rRNA from 1 species